GGGGAAUAUUGCACAAUGGGGGAAACCCUGAUGCAGCAACGCCGCGUGAGCGAAGAAGGCCUUCGGGUUGUAAAGCUCUGUCUUCCCUGACGAUAAUGACGGUAAGGGAGGAGGAAGCCACGGCUAACUACGUGCCAGCAGCCGCGGUAAUACGUAGGUGGCGAGCGUUGUCCGGAAUUAUUGGGCGUAAAGGGUGCGUAGGCGGUUUUUUAAGUGGGAUGUGAAAUCCAUGGGCUUAACCCAUGAAUUGCAUUCCAAACUGGAAAGCUUGAGUGCAGGAGAGGAAAGCGGAAUUCCCAGUGUAGCGGUGAAAUGCGUAGAUAUUGGGAGGAACACCAGUGGCGAAGGCGGCUUUCUGGACUGUAACUGACGCUGAGGCACGAAAGCGUGGGGAGCAAAC
rnacentral:rRNA from 1 species